rnacentral:sRNA from 134 species
UUGACAUUCUGAACGUGAAGGCAUACUUUCAGGAGUGAGGGUAGAGCGGGGUUUCCCCCGCCCUGGUAGUCUUAGUAUGCUGGGUAGCUAAUCACUAAGAGCACCACGAUGAUGAGUAUCUUCAUCAUGACCCUUUCCUUAUU